UAAGCCCUGCGCAGAAGUCAAGAGCCGCGGUACCGCCGCCUUCGCGCGGCCUUUCAUGCUGAGGCCGCUCUUAUUCUUGUGCCUCGGCCUCUCCGGGCACCCGGCGACAAAGCCCCCGGAGCCCGGCCGCUCUCUUCCCGCUAAAUCCCCUUCGGGGUCAGUGCGCCACCAGCCCCGGGCCGCGCGCCUCUCCUGCCAGCCCAGUGACUCUUAAAGAGCCGCACCCUGCACCCCCCACCCCCGCCCUGCGCUCUCCCCGACCCCCACCUCUUCGCCCUCUCCUCCGGAUCAACCCCCCCCACGUCCACGCCCGAGGACCCGUUGCCCCGAC
ensembl:misc_RNA